rnacentral:rRNA from 1 species
UACGAAGGGGGCGAGCGUUGUUCGGAAUCACUGGGCGUAAAGGGUGCGUAGGCGGUUAUGAAAGUUAGAAGUGAAAGCCCAGGGCUUAACCUUGGAAUUGCUUUUAAAACUCCGUGACUAGAAUUCGAGAGAGGAUAGCGGAAUUCCCAGUGUAGCAGUAAAAUGCGUAGAUAUUGGGAGGAACACCAGUGGCGUAAGCGGCUAUCUGGCUCGACAUUGACGCUGAGGCACGAAAGCGUGGGGAUCAAACAGG